UGGGGAAUAUUGCACAAUGGGCGCAAGCCUGAUGCAGCCAUGCCGCGUGUGUGAAGAAGGCCUCGGGUUGUAAAGCACUUUCAGCGAGGAGGAAGGUGGUGGACUUAAUACGUUCAUCAAUUGACGUUACUCGCAGAAGAAGCACCGGCUAACUCCGUGCCAGCAGCCGCGGUAAUACGGAGGGUGCAAGCGUUAAUCGGAAUUACUGGGCGUAAAGCGCACGCAGGCGGUUUGUUAAGUCAGAUGUGAAAUCCCCGGGCUCAACCUGGGAACUGCAUUUGAAAACUGGCAAGCUAGAGUCUCGUAGAGGGGGUAGAAUUCCAGGUGUAGCGGUGAAAUGCGUAGAGAUCUGGAGGAAUACCGGUGGCGAAGGCGGCCCCCUGGACGAAGACUGACGCUCAGGUGCGAAAGCGU
rnacentral:rRNA from 1 species